AAGCAACAAAAAUACAGAAAUAAUUUAGAGAAUCUUCAUAAUGGAGGUGUUUUUGCCUUCUUUUGUAAGGUACGAAUAUAUAAAGAUAAAAAGAUGGCAAUUCCAAACUAAACACCAGAGUUCAAAAUGAAGAGUAAAGAAGAACUACUUCCCAGUGGGAAGGACAUUUUGUUCAAGAGCUUAUUCUUCCCAAUCCUAGGGUUGGUUCUUAUCACUGCUCUCUAUUUCUACUUACCACACAAUUUAUCAUCCCGAAUGAGUGAUCUAGACAUGAGGUCCAAUGAUUCGGUGUCCCUGAACAUGAAUAGCACUACAGCCACAGCCCUUCAUCCUUCCAGUAACGAUUCAUCAUCAGUAACCUCAGAACAGAAAUGUAAUAUAUUCCAAGGAGACUGGAUUCCAUUUCCAGAGGGACCCUAUUACACUAAUGAAACUAAAUGUGCGAUAGAUGAUAGACAGAACUGUAUGAAAUUUGGUAGACCAGAUUCCGACUUCAUGAAAUGGAGGUGGAAGCCAAGUGAAUGCGAGUUACCUCUCUUCGAUGCCAAGAGGUUCUUGGAACUUGUCAGAGGUAAGACAUUGGCUUUUGUUGGCGACUCCCUGGCAAGAAAUCAAAUGCAGUCCUUGGUGUGCCUCUUAGCUAGUGUAAGUCCUUUAUCUACAAAAAUCAGUAUACAUGUACAUAUACACAAACACAAGCAUACACAUAUUUUUUAGUGAGUGUAGAAUCUAUACAUGUAUAUGUGUAGUUGCUUGAACCUACACGCAUAUCUUGGCUAUGACUGCAAUUUCAGUAUUUGUUCUCUGCCUAAUUCCUGAGAUCCUAGGCAGCCAACCCUGUGGAUGUUUCCACCACGACAGACACAAGAUUCAGGCGGUGGCUCUAUACUGAGUACAACUUCACAUUAGCUGCAUUCUGGUCUCCUCACCUGGUUAGAACACAAGAUUAUGGUCCUGAGGGCUAUAAUGCAAGUCAUCUGAAGCUUUAUCUUGAUGAGGCUGAUGAAGCCUGGGCAAAGCAGACUGAAAAUGUUGAUAUUUUUACAAUCUCGGCAUCCCAAUGGUUUUUCCGACCAUUUAUCGGCUAUGAAAAAGGUCAAAUUGUUGGAUGCCAUAUGUGCAGCGAGAGAAAUAUCAGAAACUUUUCAACUUCCUACGGAUACAAAAUGGCUUUCCGGACAGCUUUCAGGACAUUUCUGAGCCUCGAAAACUAUAAUAACAAACUUGUGUUUCUAAGAACAUUCUCUCCAGCACACUUUGAGAAUGGGGACUGGGACAAAGGAGGAAGUUGUGAGAGAACAAAACCAUUUAAAAAGCAGGAAAUGAAGUUAGAGAAGUAUGUCUUGGAUCUUUACAUGACUCAGGUGGAAGAGUUUAAGGAAGUCCAAAAAGAAGGGGAAAAGAAGGGCUUGAGGUUCAGAUUGUUAGAUACUACUCGAGCCAUGGUUCUGAGGCCAGAUGGGCAUCCCAACCACUACGGGCACUGGCCACAAGAGAAUAAGACACUGGCUGACUGUGUCCACUGGUGUUUGCCAGGCCCUGUUGACACUUGGAAUGAAUUUUUACUACAUAUCUUACAUACGGAAGAGCCAAAUUUGGCCGGCAAAAAGCUAAAGAAAAAUGAGUGAGAAAAUUAUAAGGGCAUUUAUGACGCACACAGAGAAAAGAGCCUGAUAUUCAUCUCUACAGUGACGAUCUCAAGAAUGAAAACCAUACAUCGCAGUAACUUCAAAAGCCUCAAUGCUGCUACAUCAAGCAAUAAGUUGCAUUAUGCUCUUGUGAUUGUACAACAUUCUUGAAGUUAAUGUUUAUGAUACCACAAGAGGAGACAAAAGAGACCUAAAGAUAACUAUUUUCCCUACCACCAAAAAGUAUGUAAUUACAGCUAUUACAAUUGUCAGAAGUAACUUCAUUCAGCUUAGAGCCUAUAAUUCCAUAUCAAACAGAGACCAAUCAAUCCCUCAAGUGGUAUUAGAUCAACAUGCAUUAGCAAAGGAACAUGACAUAUCAUAUGAAUUAUGAACAAAAUAAUUUAAGAUUAAUUUCCACACUUGAAUCUAUGUAGGAUUAUCCAGCUGCCAUAAAAUCUUCCUUUUCGCAUUUGAAUUCGAUUCAAGUGGUACUACUUGAGAAAAGAGCGCCUAGAGUUGUUGAUCCCGAUCAGAUAAAAGUCAUGAACUUAUCAACAACCCCAC
rnacentral:lncRNA from 1 species